UAUGCUAUUUAAAGUUUUAAACUGUGCAAGCUGCAUGUAAUAUGUUUGGGAUUGUUACAAUAUGAUGAUACUUUCAUGUAAUUGAACAAGCAACAUCUUCAUGAAGACAUCCAUCCAUCCAACAUGGAUGAAAAUGCCAUACUGAUCCACAACGUGGCAUUACAAUCCCCACAAUAUCAUGUUCACCAGCUAUUCUUCCAAUUUAAGAUGCAGAAAAAAAAACCUGUACCCCAGCCCGUGUGCGCCUAGAUCAGAUUAAUAUCUUGAUUGGAUAUUGAUGUUUGAUUGACUAGCUGGCUCCUGCGUGCAAUCGGGCAAGUUCUCCUAAAACAACGCAAUAAAUUUGCCCGUAUUGAGCUCUGUUGUGGUGGUUUCCAUAUUUAUUUCCGGGCUGCUUCUCGAAGCCCUAAGAAUUGGCAGCCGCUCAAAAAACUGUCUGAAAAUCGAAGGGGCUGUCCAUGAACCUCUCGGAGGUUUUGGCCUGGAACAGGGAAUGCUCUAACCAUUUACUCUUGGAACAAGGAAUGCUUCAGGUGAGUGCAAUCUCACGGUAUAUUUCACCACCAUCUUGAGGUGAGGAAUUUUCUGUAUAUCCCUUUCAAAUGCUAUCUUGUUCCAGUAAUGCUAGUUACUGUUGCUUCUUGUACCUUUUCCAUCAGUCUUCAGUUCCUAGCAAGCUCUGCCAUAAUCCAGACUGAACAAAAUCUUCUAUUAGUGAGGCCGAACUCGGACAUCAGUUUCGUGUAUAUAUCAUGCCAUGGACGAGGGUUCACCCCCUUUGGUCCCAGUAGCCGAUCCAACUCCAGUGAUCAGACCGGAAAUUGUUGAACAAUUUGGUUCGUGGAUGCUGUGCAAAGGAACAGAAAAGGAGGGGGGAAAUCCGUGCUUGAGAAUCUCUAGCUCACGGUUAGGGAUUUUGGGAGAAGAUCCCGCUCGAUAAAAUGUUGAUGGCUUGGAAUAUCAUGCUGAUAUUUCUUUGCCUGUCCCGAAUUCUUCUCCUGUUAUUAAUUAGCCUCACAAUUUCAGGGAAUGGAAACCCUACAGCUAAAGGCAAAUCUGUCCGUUUUCGGUCAGUCAACGAAGGCGCUUCUAUUUCUCAUGUUAGGCCUCAAGGGUAUCUUGUUGUUAAUGGACCUCGUAAUGCCCUCCCUAGACCAAAACCACGUGGAGUGAUCGCCACACACGAAUCUCAUAAACUCCAAGACCAUCAGACAGUAGCAAAUGAAGUAACAUGGCCAGUUCUCAUCAGUUUUUUGAACGGUAUCAAUUCUCGUUGUUAUGUUGUUUCUAACUUUCUAAUACUCCCUCUCAUCUUUCUUCCCACUCAGACUCGAUACUUCCUCUUGGUUUCCCUAUUAAUCAGUCUCCUAAACACACCAGAUGACUUUGUUAAAGCGACCCAAGAGGGCCAAUUUUGCGAGGGUGUCAUGUCCGAAGAAAUUGUUCAAAAAAAUAAACAGGGGGGGGGUUGAAUGUUCAAACUGUUCUAUACAGUGUGGUUAUUCUUUUGUAAUGAAACAUUGCACAUGAAAAAUGUGCCAGCUUUUUAUCAUAUUGCCUCUAACAAUUGGCAUAGCCUUUUAAUUUGUACAUUGUUGUCGACUUGUUCUAUGCAAAAGGGACAAAAUAAUCACGACUUACUUCUA